rnacentral:rRNA from 1 species
AGAGUUUGAUCAUGGCUCAGAUUGAACGCUGGCGGCAGGCCUAACACAUGCAAGUCGAACGGUAACAGGAAGCAGCUUGCUGCUUUGCUGACGAGUGGCGGACGGGUGAGUAAUGUCUGGGAAACUGCCUGAUGGAGGGGGAUAACUACUGGAAACGGUGGCUAAUACCGCAUAACGUCGCAAGACCAAAGAGGGGGACCUUCGGGCCUCUUGCCAUCAGAUGUGCCCAGAUGGGAUUAGCUUGUUGGUGAGGUAACGGCUCACCAAGGCGACGAUCCCUAGCUGGUCUGAGAGGAUGACCAGCCACACUGGAACUGAGACACGGUCCAGACUCCUACGGGAGGCAGCAGUGGGGAAUAUUGCACAAUGGGCGCAAGCCUGAUGCAGCCAUGCCGCGUGUAUGAAGAAGGCCUUCGGGUUGUAAAGUACUUUCAGCGGGGAGGAAGGUGUUGUGGUUAAUAACCGCAGCAAUUGACGUUACCCGCAGAAGAAGCACCGGCUAACUCCGUGCCAGCAGCCGCGGUAAUACGGAGGGUGCAAGCGUUAAUCGGAAUUACUGGGCGUAAAGCGCACGCAGGCGGUCUGUCAAGUCGGAUGUGAAAUCCCCGGGCUCAACCUGGGAACUGCAUUCGAAACUGGCAGGCUUGAGUCUUGUAGAGGGGGGUAGAAUUCCAGGUGUAGCGGUGAAAUGCGUAGAGAUCUGGAGGAAUACCGGUGGCGAAGGCGGCCCCCUGGACAAAGACUGACGCUCAGGUGCGAAAGCGUGGGGAGCAAACAGGAUUAGAUACCCUGGUAGUCCACGCCGUAAACGAUGUCUACUUGGAGGUUGUGCCCUUGAGGCGUGGCUUCCGGAGCUAACGCGUUAAGUAGACCGCCUGGGGAGUACGGCCGCAAGGUUAAAACUCAAAUGAAUUGACGGGGGCCCGCACAAGCGGUGGAGCAUGUGGUUUAAUUCGAUGCAACGCGAAGAACCUUACCUGGUCUUGACAUCCACAGAAGAAUCCAGAGAUGGAUUUGUGCCUUCGGGAACUGUGAGACAGGUGCUGCAUGGCUGUCGUCAGCUCGUGUUGUGAAAUGUUGGGUUAAGUCCCGCAACGAGCGCAACCCUUAUCCUUUGUUGCCAGCGGUUAGGCCGGGAACUCAAAGGAGACUGCCAGUGAUAAACUGGAGGAAGGUGGGGAUGACGUCAAGUCAUCAUGGCCCUUACGACCAGGGCUACACACGUGCUACAAUGGCGCAUACAAAGAGAAGCGACCUCGCGAGAGCAAGCGGACCUCAUAAAGUGCGUCGUAGUCCGGAUUGGAGUCUGCAACUCGACUCCAUGAAGUCGGAAUCGCUAGUAAUCGUGGAUCAGAAUGCCACGGUGAAUACGUUCCCGGGCCUUGUACACACCGCCCGUCACACCAUGGGAGUGGGUUGCAAAAGAAGUAGGUAGCUUAACCUUCGGGAGGGCGCUUACCACUUUGUGAUUCAUGACUGGGGUGAAGUCGUAACAAGGUAAC